rnacentral:rRNA from 1 species
GAUGAACGCUGGCGGCGUGCCUAAUACAUGCAAGUCGAGCGAACGGACGAGAAGCUUGCUUUUCUGAUGUUAGCGGCGGACGGGUGAGUAACACGUGGAUAACCUACCUAUAAGACUGGGAUAACUUCGGGAAACCGGAGCUAAUACCUGAUAAUAUUUUGAACCGCAUGGUUCAAAAGUGAAAGACGGUCUUGCUGUCACUUAUAGAUGGAUCCGCGCUGCAUUAGCUAGUUGGUAAGGUAACGGCUUACCAAGGCAACGAUGCAUAGCCGACCUGAGAGGGUGAUCGGCCACACUGGAACUGAGACACGGUCCAGACUCCAACGGGAGGCAGCAGUAGGGAAUCUUCCGCAAUGGGCGAAAGCCUGACGGAGCAACGCCGCGUGAGUGAUGAAGGUCUUCGGAUCGUAAAACUCUGUUAUUAGGGAAGAACAUAUGUGUAAGUAACUGUGCACAUCUUGACGGUACCUAAUCAGAAAGCCACGGCUAACUACGUG